GUAAAACCUUUCCAAUACCUGGCACGUGGACCAACGCGAGAUCACACAAGUGGAGGAAAAGACGGUUCUUUCUUGUUCUUGAAGUCAAAAGUGAAAGCUGUCUUCGCAUCACUUCUGGGACCUCAACUGAAUGCCAGUAACCUUUGUGUGAUGCGUUUUUACUACACGAUAAGAGGCCCCACCAACGCCGUGCUCAGUGUCAAGACUCGUAUAACUGCAGACGGCGAAUUUAAGGAAGUGUGGAAAACCGAUCGCCCUACUGACUUUAGCCAUUUCACUGAAGCAUUUGUGCCAUUCCACGAAGAUUCCGAUUUUGAGGUGACGAUUGAUGUCUGUUUGAUUUA